GAGGGUGUAGCUCAAGUGGUAGAGCGCGUGCUCAGCACACACAAGGUGCUGGGUUCAAUCCCCGGCACCUCCU
rfam:Camelus ferus unplaced genomic scaffold scaffold2578, whole genome shotgun sequence.